AUGCUAGUGCUGAUGUCCUGGAGGUUCAACCAAACCCCUUGCACCAGUCCGUUGACACACCUUCCAGGAGAGGCUGAGUGCUUACAGCAGCACAGGAAGCUCUUCACUCUGGGUUGCUUCCCUGCCGCCCUUCAGUCAUGGGACAGACUGCAGUUGAGCCAGCACCUCGGCCAGGCAAGUGACAGCUUGAAGCGCCCUACGUCCUUCAGCAUUGCUGCUACAAAGCAUCCCUGGGGCAUGGAUGGCAGAGGGAACAGGUGUGUGGUCUGCAAAGUCAACAGAGGUGUGCACCUAAAAUCAUGCUAGGAAAAAAUCCAGGGGAGAGGAAAUGAGCCGGCAAACCCACCAGGAAAUGUCCAUGUGUCUGGAAAAUUUUAAUCCAAUGCGGGUCUAUCCUAUUUGUUCUUAACUAGGAUGUAACUGCCCUCUGCACUUUGGGAUUGUCAGGGGAGCAUUCGGUUGCAUAUAGAAAUGGAUUUCCAUUUCUGUCACAUAAAAAUAAACACUUCUCUGGGAGCAGUGGUGCACCCAACGUCAUUCAUCCCAACGGCUCAGGGGGCUGAGGCAGGAGGAUGGCAAGUUCAAAGCCAGCCUCAGCAACUUAGUGAGGCUUUAAGCAACUUAGACCCCAAGUAA
rnacentral:lncRNA from 1 species